UUGGAAACAAACAAAUCCUUUAAAAAAAAUUGUAAUCCAUGAUCUGAAAAUAUAAAUGGAUAGAACAUAAACUCAGGUUGUAGAGAAGUGGGAAAUAAAGUGGAUAGUGAAAAUGAAAGGAAGUAUGCUUCUAAAAGUGUUGAAGUAUAAAUGUAAUCAAUAAGAUGUUGCUUCUACAAUUUGUUCUUUCUAUAGUCCUUUUCUUAGGUGAGGAUUGAGACAAUCUUAAGAAUCUUUGAAACCACUCUUCUCUCCAAACUCUA
rnacentral:lncRNA from 1 species